UACGUAGGGUGCAAGCGUUGUCCGGAUUUACUGGGCGUAAAGGGCGCGUAGGCGGCCACCGCAAGUCGACUGUGAAAUCUCCGGGCUUAACUCGGAAAGGUCAGCCGAUACUGCGGGGCUAGAGUGCAGAAGGGGCAACUGGAAUUCUCGGUGUAGCGGUGAAAUGCGUAGAUAUCGAGAGGAACACCUGCGGCGAAGGCGGGUUGCUGGGCUGACACUGACGCUGAUGUGCGAAAGCUAGGGGAGCGAACGGG
rnacentral:rRNA from 1 species